CCUGUUUGAACAACGUUCAGCAAACGUGUUCGGAACAGGGUUCGGUCCAAUGUAAAUCCUUACGGGCUGGGAAAAAGCGAACGCGGUUGAAGCAAUAGUUCUCUUGGAUGGCCACCACUUUCUGAACAUUUGGGAGGCCGCCACCGUCACGAAAAGUCAAACAGGGAACUCUAUAGUUGCUGGGUUGUAGGGGCCGGACGUCUCUUGACAUCCACACAGCCCGUCACUUGUAUUCACCACACGUACGAAUAUUCACCACAUUUUUUUAAAUAUCCGACAGCCUUACAUAAAAUAGAAGAAGAAGAAGAACAUUAAUCUAUAAACGGUGUUUUCUGUGCCAUAACUAUAAAAUUUAUAUCCAUUUUUAACAGUGGCGUUGGUGGCAUUCUUUUCAAUUAGAAAUAAAAGCAUUUUGAACUUGUGAAAAAUAAGUGUGACUCUUUUUUCAACGAGUUUAUUCACUUAAAAUGCAAUGGAAAAAUAUAAAUUACUUUCAUCUGUGGAUCCGACGAAAUUUCCUGUAGUUGUAAAGAAAAAAUUCUCCAAGCUUACUUUGGGUAAUAGAUCAUCAAACCAUCAGGUAUCUUCAAUGUCAAAAUUCACGCAAAGGAUUUCAUAUCCCCCUGAAGAAAUUGACAAUGAACAUAAGUCAUUUUUUUUAACUGAUGAAGGUGAAACUGACAAAUAUACACUGCCGGAUAGUCCGAAUGGAGUACAUUGUUCUGGUUUGGACUCUCAAAUAUCCAGACAGGGAACUAUGUCACAUGAAAACCCUGAAAAGGAGUCGAAAGAUUAUAUAGGAUACGUGAAGAAAAUUGAAUCGGGCUUAAGAGAUCUUGGAAUUCCACCGCACAAAUCAUUCAAUACCCAAAAUAUGCCGUCAUUGAACAUAAGUGGAAACGAUUGUUUAUCUCAAGAAUUGCGGAAACAAAUUAGAGCUAGUGAAUCUGAUGCUAGUAUUCUCACCAUAAGCAGUACAAGUAGUAAUGAAAUCGACCUAAAUCACAAAAAAAUAACACAAAGUGAUUGCUCGAAAACACCAGAAGUCAUUAUUUUGGAUGAGUCUAGUGAAAAUGAAUUGCCACUAAAAGAAUCAUUCCCUGCAGUAAGUGAAUCGACGGAAAAAAGUCUUAACAGUACUAUUCAACAAAAACUCAAUGCAUUUUUCGACAAGAUUCCUACACAGACCGAAAUUUCUCUUCACUAUAAAUCAGAUAAUUUGCUGGCUGAGAACACUUUUGAAAAUACAAAGGAAAAUUCUAUGAGUUAUGAUGAUCCUGUUAGUCUAAAUGAAACUGACAAUGAUGAAAUUAAAAGUGGACACGAAAAAUAUAUACCAAGAGAUAUUGAGCAGAAAUCACAAGUUGUGAAUAUUUCUGCCAAAAUAAAGAUCAACAUUGAAAUAGAGGAACAUGAAAUAACUUCAUCAUUUGAUGAAAGUGAUCAUCAGUAUAAUGACAAAAAUGAAGAAGAUGAUGUACCAAUAGUUAAGAAACCUAUAAUUGAACAGAAAAAUCAGGGAAAAGAUGAUCUUGGGAUUGAUCUUGAGCCUGAGGUACAAAGUAUUUUGACUGAAAUGUACGGAGAUUCUUGGAAAACCAGAGAGGUCCUAAAUUCCAUUAAAAAGCAGAAGAGAAGGGAUCCGAAUGAUACUAUUACCUCAAAAUCCUUUGGAAAUCUGGGAAAUACUCUGGAAUUGACGGGGCAUGAAAAACAAGACAAGAAAAAUGAGAUACAACAGAAAAAACCGUUAAUAAAAAAAAUUACAGAAACAAAAGAAAGUCAGCAACAAAAUAUUGCAAAAUUGCGAAACAAAAAUUUUAGAAUUUGCGAUUCAGAUAGUGAGUCUGAAUUAGAAGAUCUUGAAUCUUACAAAUCCUGGCAUAUAAGUUAUUCUGAGAAUUCCUAUUCGUCCGAUUCAUGUUCAAAUGAAAAGCGAAAAAAACACAAGAGUUUUGCAAAGAAAGUAAAUAGGAAAAUAGAAUCAGACUUUGUUCAAGAUGCUUCAAGUGAUAGUGACAACACUAUAUUCGAAAAUAAAUCUCUCAUACCAAUUUCGACGACCGUAAAUGAGAAAGAUAUAGAAUAUGCUGUUACUCCACAAAACAAAAUAUUGCAUAAUGUGGAAAAUCCUGGUCCAUCAACUAAAAGAAAGCUUUUUUCAAAAAAAUUAUAUAGUAAUAUAAACAGUGAUACACAAUUGAAUGUCGAUGAAGAUUUGUUGUCGUCGAAAAACAGUCCUAAGCUGAGUAAUAUUAAAUUAGAGGCUAUAAAGGGUGCCAUACCUUCAAAAGGGCGAAACGACUUGGAAAUGCAUGAAUUUACAAAUUCGUCAAAUAAAGCGCUUCAAUUCUUCUCACAAAGGGAUAAUAAAAAUUAUUACGGGUUUCUGAUAUCCCUCAAUGCAUCUACCCUUAAUGAUUUAUCACAUCCAGAAGCCCUACGCUUUAGAAAAAAUUUUCGUGUAAUGAAGGAAGAAUUAACUGCUGUUUUGUAUAAUCUCUACAAUGAAAAAAUAUUCAACAAUCAGUUGAAUGUGUCUAUCAAAUGGAAUAAGAAGUUGCUAACAACAGCAGGGCGAUGCACAAAUAUGUUGCGAAAUGGUGUAAGAUUGGCUGAAAUUGAUUUGAGUGAGAAGGUUCUAACAAGUGCUGAUCGUUUACGUUGCACUCUUAUUCACGAGCUUUGUCAUGCAGCGGCUUGGAUUUUGGAUAGUGAAAAGAAAGGACAUGCAGAACAUUGGAAGAAAUGGGCGAGACGCGCUAAUGAAGUUUUCUCAGAAUUACCCAAGAUCACAGUAUGUCAUCACUAUAAUAUUGAGUAUAAGUACACAUAUCAGUGCGAUGGAUGUGGAGCAAAAACCCAAAUGCAUUCAAAGACAAAAAAAGUGGAGAAUAUUCAGUGCAAAUAUUGUAAAGGUACUAUUCGAGUAUUCAUUAACAAGAGAAAGAAAGAUGGACAAGUUGUUCAAACUCCGGUAAAAGCUGCAAGUGGAUUUGCUAAGUUUGUACAACAAAAAUACAAAAUAUAUAAGACACCUCAGAUCACACAUGCUGAGACUAUGAAAAUACUUAGUCAGGAAUUCACUAAAAUGAAUUUAGAUAAAAAUCAAGAUAAAUCAUAAAUUUGCUAAAUAUGUCUAUUAUAAAUAUAAGUCUCACUUCAGAUUCUUACGUCCUGGAAAGUAUAUACAUUUGAACAUUAAAAAAAAUAAAAAUGAUUUUUUUUAAUAAUUUCGCACGGAUUUUGAAAAUUUUGUGAUGUUUGAAAAAUAUUUUUUUUUACAGAUAUCAAUUUUAUUUAAGCCAAUUUGUUUGCUUUAAAAUGGAGCGACCGAAAUAUUUUCGUGACAAUAUUGAAAUGGAAUAGUUUUUAAGUCCGAAAUACAAUUGGAAGCUUAAAAUUACAUAAUAUUGUUUGUUAUAUUAGCUAUAUGUUUAACAGAAACUCAAAGGCCUAGUCGAUUUGAGAACUUGAACAACAUUGUCACGCAAAAUUAGAUUCAUAUUUCUCUGUUUUUCUCUUGAAACUGGUUGAGAAUGCUCUCUGGCAAGAUGAUGUAAAUCUGCAUAAAAUUGCAUUCCUGGCACACCAACUGUACUGAAAGAUGCCGAAACUUCGGUACAGUCCACUACAAUGGUUUUAAGUGGUGUUACAAGGAGUGUUGACUGACUUGGCUGUGAUGAUAAAAACAAACUAUUACUUUUUAAAUUAUUCAAACAUUUUUAAUACUUUACCGGUUUUCUGUAUUCCAUUACUUCACGCAUAAGAAGUACUGCUGAUCGACUACCAGAAAGAAGAUUCCAACGGGACCAAGAAAAAUUAUGAAUCCUUCAGUAUAGCAAAAAGCAUCAGAUUCAGGAAAGAGGUCAACAGCUGUACUCUUCAUAACGGUUUUGAGUUCAUCUAACGGUAAAAUUAUACCUAAAAUAUGUGCUAGAGGUGCCGAAGAGCACCCCUGGAUGGAAUUUAGACGUACGCCAUUGUCCAAAAUAGUUAUAUCAAUGCUCACAACUGCGGCAGUAAGGGUAAAUGAAACGGCAUUUGGAAAGCGAAAGUCUGGCUUAAGUUCCCAUGUUUGAUAAGGAAGAUUACUAUAGCGAUUCGCAGCAAAGCCAAAGCAUCCAAGCCGUCCAGUACGAAAUUGUAUGGUAAGUUUAUCUUCAUUAAAUUUUACAUCGUGCACAUCUCUUGUGCUCCACUUUGAAAAUGAAUUAUCUUGUGUAUAUGAAGCAUUUAAAUCUAUGUUAUCAUCUGAAUCACUUUCUGAGUUACUUUCUUCGACGAUUUCCACCUUGUGGUCAAUUUCGUUUGAUGUGUCAUGGCACUUCAUAGAAGCUCCCAAAAAACGCAUAUCACACAGUAGAUCAUGAUGCUCUCGUAGUAGACUUACACUUGAAGUCUUUCUCACCGUAUCAGAUAUUUCCUCCUGAGGUAAUAACGUUUUCGAUGCUAUUUCCUCAAUUUUUUCAUCAAACUGAGGAUGUUGCAGCUCUGUGAGUUCAUCGAGAUCUCUGAUAAACUGUGACAGAAAGUAUUUUCCCCCGCUGGGUUCCAUCGAUAUACUCGAACGUCUGAAUUUUUGAACUACCUCUGAUUCCUCUUCAUCUGUUGAAGAUGACGAUUCAGACGCAAUAGUAGUUUUUGACCGCUUUCUACUUAAUAUUCUCAAAACUUUUUUAAAACGCACUUUUGGAUGUAGUGAUCGAGGUGAAUUUGUCGAAUGAAUUGCAGUUUCAAUUACUGGAGAAUUUUUUUGGUGAAAUUCUAUAUUUCUUUUUAUUUCACUUUCUUUAAUUACGUACUUCAUCAAGCUACUCUUUCUCUCUCCCGACAUAUUCUCUAUCAUUACACCAUAUCCAUCUGGUAGCCGUGGGACUAUGAAAUCCAGCAUUAAUGCAUGUAAGUCAAUAUAGGAUGGAAUGCACAAAAGGUUAAAGUCAGGAAUUUCUAUAACAGUAGAAUCGGGUUUGGAACCGUGUUGCUUUGGAUGAGGAUUUGUAUCUAAGUUUUGGAAAAUAUUUCCUGAUUCAUCAUUGUUGUCCUCCAAGGAAACAUCAAUAUCAUCUGGGCUUUCCCAGCGACAAACUAUUGGUGGUUCAAACCAUAAGACAUUCUCCGGCAGCCUGAAAAUAGUCCACAUAUGUGUAAUGUGACUAUAUAAUUUUACUUACGUUUGUAAUAUAAGAAAUAGAUGGGGUAUCUAAGAGA